GACGAACGCUGGCGGCGUGCCUAACACAUGCAAGUCGAGCGGAGAUAUAGUAAUAUAUCUUAGCGGCGGACGGGUGAGUAACGCGUGGGUAACCUACCUUAGACAGGGGGAUAACACAGGGAAACUUGUGCUAAUACCGCAUAACAUCAGAACAUCGCAUGGUGAACUGAUCAAAGGAGAAAUCCGGUAUAAGAUGGACCCGCGUCCGAUUAGCUAGUUGGUGGUGUAAUGGACCACCAAGGCGACGAUCGGUAGCCGAACUGAGAGGUUGAUCGGCCACAUUGGGACUGAGACACGGCCCAGACUCCUACGGGAGGCAGCAGUGGGGAAUAUUGCACAAUGGGGGAAACCCUGAUGCAGCAACGCCGCGUGAAGGAUGAAGGUUUUCGGAUUGUAAACUUCUUUAGUCGGGGACGAAUAAAUGACGGUACCCGAAGAAUAAGCCACGGCUAACUACG
rnacentral:rRNA from 1 species